rnacentral:tRNA from 1 species
GGGGGUGUAGCUCAUCUGGUAGAGCGCGUGCUUAGCAUUACUCAUGUCACUUGCACGAGGUACUGGGUUCGACUCCCAGCUCCUCCA